AGCUUUGCGCAGUGGCAGUAUCGUAGCCAAUGAGGUUUAUCCGAGGCGCGAUUAUUGCUAAUAGAAAAACAUGUUGUUCUUACUCUAUGUAAUUUUCACAUCAGCUUUAGAUCCUUCUGUUCUUCUAAGAA
ensembl:snRNA U4 U4 spliceosomal RNA